rnacentral:rRNA from 1 species
CCUACGGGAGGCUGCAGUCGGGAAUAUUGCGCAAUGGAGGAAACUCUGACGCAGUGACGCCGCGUGCAGGAAGAAGGUUUUCGGAUUGUAAAAUGCUUUAGACAGGGAAGAAAAAAGACAGUACCGGUAGAAUAAGCUCCGGCUAACUACGUGACAGCAGCCGCGGUAAUACGUAGGGAGCAAGCGUUAUCCGGAUUUAUUGGGUGGAAAGGGAGCGUAGACGGGGAAGCAAGUUAGUUGUGAAAUCCCUCGGCUUAAACGAGGAACUGCAACUAAAACUACUUCCCUUGAGUACUGGAGAGGAAAGUGGAAGUCCUGGUGUAGCGGUGAAAUGCGUAGAUAUUAGGAGGAACCCCAGUGGCGAAGGCGAAUUUCUGGACAGUAACUGACGUUGAGGCACGAAAGUGUGGGGAGCAAACAGGAUUAGAUACCCUUGUAGUC